GGAGAUUUCUAGUUCACAAGCUCAGUUGAAGAUUGAGCUGCAGGAUGUACUCCCUUUUGUGCCUUCUUCUGGCCACUCUCUUGGCUGGUGUUGGGGCUCAGAAAAUCCAUCAAUGGCCGGCCACCAAGAUACAGGUUGCAGGGAGCCAGCUUUUCCUGGAGUGCUCCACAGAAGGGACAUCAGACCCCAAUCUUUACUGGUAUCAUCAGCCUCUAGGUGGAGGUCUACAUUUGCUGACCUACUCUAUAAGCAUAAACCAUGUGGAGAAUGAGAUGCCCCAUCAUUUCUCAGGCUUAAGAUCUCAGAAAACUCUUUUCCAGCUCAGCUCCCAGAAGCUCUUUGUCAACGACUCAGGCUCUUUUUUCUGUGCUUGGAGCCUCACACUGAAUGGAGUGAGGCAUAUAGCUGCGCAAAAACCUUUCCUUUCCUUUAGGUGCUGACAACACUUUCAGAUCCACUAUAAGAUCUCCCCAAGACCCCAUAGUGAUUUUCAUUUCUUCUUCCCAUGGGAACUGGAACUGACUAAAAAAUAAGACAUACUUUUCUCUAUUCCUAAUUCUCCAAGGAACAAAUAGUUAGGAUAAGAAACUCAGUAAUAAUUUUUGUAGAUAGGAAGGGUUGGCAUGAAAAAAAUCCAGGAAGAAAGAGUCAAGGAAGAAAGGGGAGGAAACAUAGAAGGAGUAAAGUAGGCCAGUGAGCACAUAAAAAGAAAUGUUGUUUUACUUCUGUUGAACCUGAGUCUAUGAUCAUUUUGUUGUCAUUGUGUAUCAUCACCCAUGAGAAGACCUUAUUCCACCAAUAAACAUGUUCUAUACACUC